rnacentral:rRNA from 1 species
ACUCCUACGGGAGGCAGCAGUAGGGAAUCUUCCACAAUGGACGCAAGUCUGAUGGAGCAACGCCGCGUGAGUGAAGAAGGGUUUCGGCUCGUAAAGCUCUGUUGUUAAAGAAGAACGUGGGUGAGAGUAACUGUUCACCCAGUGACGGUAUUUAACCAGAAAGCCACGGCUAAC